rnacentral:rRNA from 1 species
UACGUAGGGAGCAAGCGUUGUCCGGAAUCAUUGGGCGUAAAGCGCGCGUAGGUGGCCUCAUAAGUCCGCUGUGAAAGUCGGGGGCUCAACCCUCGAAAGCCGGUGGAUACUGUCGGGCUAGAGUACGGAAGAGGCGAGUGGAAUCCUGGUGUAGCGGUGAAAUGCGCAGAUAUCAGGAGGAACACCGGUGGCGAAGGCGGGAUCCUGGGCCAGUACUGACGCUGAGGAACGAAAGCGUGGGGAGCGAACAGG